AUGGAUGUAUUCAAGUCCAAAGAUUUCUCCAUGUCAGAGUAGGAUUGAGACAAUAUGUCUCUGAAUGGAGAAGCACAGAGGAGAUGAUGUCCAUAAAUUAGUGAAGGAAGAUGAGUGGUGAAGAGUUGCCUGAGAAGGCAAAGAAAAAAGAAGGUAGAUGCAGAGCCCUAGCCUUAUGUCAGAGAAUACAGAGAAAGGGACAGAAAGAUGGAUUGUGAUCAAGUUUCCCUGAUGUAGAGGGAUGGAAAUCAAAAUCAGACCCUACUUCACAAUUUAAGGCAGCAGAAGAGACCAAGUAGUCAAAUUCAAGUAAACUGGGAUCAAAUAAAAUAUCUAGAGAAAACUAAAGGGUGAAGGUCACCAAAGUGUUUGAUUUUGCUGGUGAAGUGGUGACAGUGACAAAGGAAGUGAAUGCUGUGUCUAAAUCCUCCAGCAGAUGGGACAGAAGAACCAGAGGCAGAAUGUCACUUCAGCUGCCACCACUCUCUGCUUGGUUGGGGAUGGAGAGGUCAAAUGGUAGGAACAGACACUUGGUGGGAAAAUAAAGGAGCCAAAACAAAUGACAAAACAGAGCAAAUGCAUAACUUGACAACCACUGAGAAGUUAAAAUUGAACAGGGAGAGCUUCAAGUAGGAAGAAUGGGUUGCUGAUAACCAUACGCAAAGGCCGGAGGCUACACUGAACUGAAAAUUUUUUUGAUAAAAUGAAUGAUGGCCAGUUUGAAAUUAGGUGAGAUCUCACCCUGGGCAAAAUGAAAACUUGGCAUUCUAGUUAGAAACUCCACCUUGAUGAUAGGACCUUCACUGUGUUCUGUGAAAUGUGAAAUAGCUCUGUUUUUCUUAUCAUGUGUCUCAGGAAAACAUUUUUCCUUCUACAUUGCAGUUUGUUUUGUGUAUUUUAUGUAUCUUAAUCUCACAUGGUAUUCAUUUUACUUGUUGAAUUUUGUCUUUAAGU
rnacentral:lncRNA from 1 species